ACUCCUACGGAAGGCAGCAGUGGGGAAUAUUGCACAAUGGACGAAAGUCUGAUGCAGCAACGCCGCGUGGAGGAUGACACAUUUCGGUGCGUAAACUCCUUUUAUAUGAGAAGAUAAUGACGGUAUUAUAUGAAUAAGCACCGGCUAACUCCGUGCCAGCAGCCGCGGUAAUG
rnacentral:rRNA from 1 species